rnacentral:rRNA from 1 species
CUGACUCAGGAUGAACGCUAGCUACAGGCUUAACACAUGCAAGUCGAGGGGCAUCAGGAGACUAGCUUGCUAGUUCGCUGGCGACCGGCGCACGGGUGCGUAACACGUAUCCAACCUACCCAUCUGCUCAGGGAUAGCCUUUCGAAAGAAAGAUUAAUACCUGAUGGUUUCCUUCACCCGCAUGGGUGUAUGAAUAAAGAUUCAUCGGCGAUGGAUGGGGAUGCGUCCGAUUAGCUUGUUGGCGGGGUAACGGCCCACCAAGGCGACGAUCGGUAGGGGCUCUGAGAGGAGGAUCCCCCACACUGGAACUGAGACACGGUCCAGACUCCUACGGGAGGCAGCAGUGAGGAAUAUUGGUCAAUGGGCGAAGGCCUGAACCAGCCAAAGUAGCGUGAGGGACGACUGCCCUAUGGGUUGUAAACCUCUUUUGUUUGGGAAUAAAGGACCCCACGUGUGGGGUUUUGCAUGUACCUUACGAAUAAGCAUCGGCUAAUUCCGUGCCAGCCGCUGC